CCUACGGGAGGCUGCAGUGGGGAAUAUUGGACAAUGGGGGCAACCCUGAUCCAGCCAUGCCGCGUGUGUGAAGAAGGCCCUCGGGUUGUAAAGCACUUUCAGUGAGGAAGAACGCCUGGUGGUUAAUACCCAUCAGGAAAGACAUCACUCACAGAAGAAGCACCGGCUAACUCCGUGCCAGCAGCCGCGGUAAUACGGAGGGUGCGAGCGUUAAUCGGAAUUACUGGGCGUAAAGCGCGCGUAGGUGGCUUGAUAAGCCGGUUGUGAAAGCCCCGGGCUCAACCUGGGAACGGCAUCCGGAACUGUCAAGCUAGAGUGCAGGAGAGGAAGGUAGAAUUCCCGGUGUAGCGGUGAAAUGCGUAGAGAUCGGGAGGAAUACCAGUGGCGAAGGCGGCCUUCUGGACUGACACUGACACUGAGGUGCGAAAGCGUGGGUAGCAAACAGGAUUAGAUACCCUGGUAGGC
rnacentral:rRNA from 1 species